rnacentral:rRNA from 1 species
CAAUAGCGUAUAUUUAAGUUGUUGCAGUUAAAAGGCUCGUAGUUGGAUUUCGGUUAAGAGCGACCGGUCCGCCGUUUGGUGUGCACUGGUUGGUUUUAACUUCCUGUAGAGGACGUGCUCUGGGUUUAACGACCUGGACUCGGAGUCUACGUGGUUACUUUGAAAAAAUUAGAGUGUUCAAAGCGGGCUUACGCUUGAAUAUUUCAGCAUGGAAUAACACUAUAGGACUCCUGUCCUAUUUCGUUGGUCUCGGGACGGGAGUAAUGAUUAAGAGGAACAGUUGGGGGCAUUCGUAUUUCAUUGUCAGAGGUGAAAUUCUUGGAUUUAUGAAAGACGAACUUCUGCGAAAGCAUUUGCCAAGGAUGUUUUCAUUAA